UUGAUCCUACGGGACGCAGUAGUGAGGAAUAUUGGUCAAUGGGCGGAAGCCUGAACCAGCCAAGUCGCGUGAGGGAAUAAGGCCCUACGGGUCGUAAACCUCUUUUGCCGGGGAGCAAGGGCCGGGACGAGUCCCGGUCCGGAGAGUACCCGGAGAAAAAGCAUCGGCUAACUCCGUGCCAGCAGCCGCGGUAAUACGUAGGUGGCAAGCGUUAUCCGGAUUUACUGGGUGUAAAGGGCGUGUAGGCGGGCCUGCAAGUCAGAUGUGAAAAUUAUGGGCUCAACCCAAAACCUGCAUUUGAAACU
rnacentral:rRNA from 1 species